rnacentral:tRNA from 1 species
GCAUGGUUACUCAAGUGGAAAGAGAGCUGAUUGCAAAUCAUCUAAACGGGAGUUCGAUUCUCCCACCAUGCUCCA